rnacentral:rRNA from 1 species
GAUGAACGCUGGCGGCGUGCCUAAUACAUGCAAGUCGAGCGAACAGACGAGGAGCUUGCUCCUCUGACGUUAGCGGCGGACGGGUGAGUAACACGUGGAUAACCUACCUAUAAGACUGGGAUAACUUCGGGAAACCGGAGCUAAUACCGGAUAAUAUAUUGAACCGCAUGGUUCAAUAGUGAAAGACGGUUUUGCUGUCACUUAUAGAUGGAUCCGCGCCGCAUUAGCUAGUUGGUAAGGUAACGGCUUACCAAGGCAACGAUGCGUAGCCGACCUGAGAGGGUGAUCGGCCACACUGGAACUGAGACUCGGUCCAGACUCCUACGGGAGGCAGCAGUAGGGAAUCUUCCGCAAUGGGCGAAUGCCUGACGGAGCAACGCCGCGUGAGUGAUGAAGGUCUUCGGAUCGUAAAACUCUGUUAUUAGGGAAGAACAAAUGUGUAAGUAACUAUGCACGUCUUGACGGUACCUAAUCAGAAAGCCACGGCUAACUACGUG